AGAGAGAGACAUGCGCGCAUAUCAAUAAGCGGAGGAAAAGAAACUAACAAGGAUUCCCUUAGUAACGGCGAGUGAAGCGGGAAGAGCUCAAAUUUGAAAUCUUCAAGGUUUUACCUUGACGAAUUGUAGUUUAAAGAAGUGUUUUCUGCUGAAGUUUUGGUAAAAGUUCUUUGGAAUAGGACAUCAUAGAGGGUGAGAAUCCCGUAUUUGACCAUUAUUUUCAGCUUUGCUGAUACACUUUCAAAGAGUCGGAUUGUUUGGGAAUGCAGUCCAAAAUGGGUGGUAAAUUUCAUCUAAAGCUAAAUAUUGGCGAGAGACCGAUAGCGAACAAGUACCGUGAGGGAAAGAUGAAAAGAACUUUGAAAAGAGAGUUAAACAGUACGUGAAAUUGUCAAAAGGGAAGCGUUUGACACCAGUGUUGUUUUCUCGAAAAUCAAUUAAAAAUGGCUCGAUUUUGUAUUGCUGAGACCUUAAAAGCUCACUGUACAUUUUUCGUGUCUUUUUUAAUGCACUUUUCGUUUAACAAGUCAACAUCAGUUUCUUUUGUUGUAAAAGGGUCAUUGGAAGGUGGCUUUCUUUUCGGAGAAAGUGUUUAUAGCCUUUGGCCUCUGCAAUCGAAGAGACUGAGGUCUGCAGCGUAGACUCUUCGGGGUUAGAUACAUUUGUGCUAAGUUAUAGCUUUUUAUAGACAACUUGUUGACUAUAAUUAGUCUUGUAGCUUACUCGCUUAUGCUAUUUUACCUACGCUUAGGAUGUUGAAGAUGUAGCACAUCAU
rnacentral:rRNA from 1 species